rnacentral:rRNA from 1 species
AUUGAACGCUGGCGGCAUGCUUUACACAUGCAAGUCGAACGGUAACAGGUUAAGCUGACGAGUGGCGAACGGGUGAGUAAUGCAUCGGAACGUGCCCGGUCGUGGGGGAUAACGCAGCGAAAGCUGCGCUAAUACCGCAUACGAUCUGAGGAUGAAAGCGGGGGACCGUAAGGCCUCGCGCGAUCGGAGCGGCCGAUGUCAGAUUAGGUAGUUGGUGGGGUAAGGCUCACCAAGCCAACGAUCUGUAGCUGGUCUGAGAGGACGACCAGCCACACUGGGAAUGAGACACGGCCCAGACUCCUACGGGAGGCAGCAUUGGGGAAUUUUGGACAAUGGGCGAAAGCCUGAUCCAGCAAUGCCGCGUGCAGGAAGAAGGCCUUCGGGUUGUAAACUGCUUUUGUACGGAGCGAAAAGGUCUCCUCUAAUACAGGGGGCUCAUGACGGUACCGUAAGAAUAAGCACCGGCUAACUACGUGCCAGCCGCCGCAGUAA